GUACAGCUGAGGAGUCUCAUAAUAGGACGAAACGGCCGUCCAGUGC
rfam:Schistosoma rodhaini strain Burundi genome assembly, scaffold: SROB_scaffold0000017